rnacentral:rRNA from 1 species
CCUACGGGCGGCUGCAGUGAGGAAUAUUGGUCAAUGGACGAGAGUCUGAACCAGCCAAGUAGCGUGAAGGAUGACUGCCCUAUGGGUUGUAAACUUCUUUUAUAUGGGAAUAAAAUGUUCCACGUGUGGGAUUUUGUAUGUACCAUAUGAAUAAGGAUCGGCUAACUCCGUGCCAGCAGCCGCGGUAAUACGGAGGAUCCGAGCGUUAUCCGGAUUUAUUGGGUUUAAAGGGAGCGUAGGUGGAUUGUUAAGUCAGUUGUGAAAGUUUGCGGCUCAACCGUAAAAUUGCAGUUGAAACUGGCAGUCUUGAGUACAGUAGAGGUGUGCGGAAUUCGUGGUGUAGCGGUGAAAUGCUUAGAUAUCACGAAGAACUCCGAUUGCGAAGGCAGUUCACUGGACUGCAACUGACACUGAGGCUCGAAAGUGUGGGUAUCAAACAGGAUUAGAUACCCUUGUAGUC